AUGGCGAAUUCAAUUCACAAAGUUAUGGAAUUGCAGAUAAGGGUAGGAUCAAUACUGAAGAAGGUUCAUAUUUUGAAGGCAGGGUGUUCAAAGAGAGUGAAAAGUAAAGGGAUAUAUAAGGCUUAUAUGCCUGGGAGAAGUGGAAGCAAUGAUGUGGGAUUGAAGAGUUUGUUGUAUUACUAUGAUGAGACUUGUCAACCUUAUAUAUGGAUUCAUGAUGUAGGGGGUGGUUCUUUGAGGAUGGUGAAACAACAGUAUGUGAGUCUUGAGGAUUUGAGGGAGUGUUGUGAGAUUAGGAUCUUGAGGGAUCAACAUAAGGGUUGCAUUUCGGUUUGUAAGAGAACUAGACCUGAUUUAUGCUGA